rnacentral:misc_RNA from 1 species
AAGUCGUAACAAGGUUUCCGUAGGUGAACCUGCGGAAGGAUCAUUAACACGUACCCUUAUUUGAUUCUCUGUAUAUCUUUCGUGAACUUUAGAUGGUUAUUUGAAUUGAAUUAGUAUUUCUUAGAAAGGAUAUAAUAGUUGAUUACAAGCUCAGAUCCUAGGGUUCUCUUCCCAAGACCUAAGCAAAUGUGGUUGUAAAUCACUAUUGUAACACCUCUUUGAAAAAACAUUCAAGUGUCAAUUAUACGAUCUUGUAUUUUUGACAUAAAAUAACUAUCGACUUUGUUAUUACCAAUAAACCCUAUCACUUUGAAAUUUAAGACCCUUUUUCUUUUAGAAAUUGAUUUUCUUAUUUUUUCAUUACUCUGAACAACUCUUAGCAACGGAUGUCUUGGUUCCC